rnacentral:piRNA from 1 species
UAAAAUGGGAUUCAUCGCAUCUUCAUGAUG